UGAGCAUUCCGCCCUCGCUCCUUCCUCCUCGUCUCUUCUCCAGUGGGAGAAUCGAGACUUUUGUUCUCAAGAUCGCGAAAUCUUUCGUCUGAUUUCUUGAAACCGAGCGCCUCUUGGAAAUAGAGUUGCUUUUGCUUUUCGAUUUCAGGGUUUCCCCCUUUUUUGGGGGGUUACCUUUCCUCCGAUAUGGUGAAACUAGUUCGAGCAGGUUUUUGAGCGAUAAAAUUGAGUGAGUUCUUGGGAGGCAGAUAUGUAUAGGGACAAGGGAGGGAGUGAGCCGAAGUUGAAGAUUGGAGGUGCAGAUCGGAAGAGAUUCAGCGAUUCCCUCGACAAGCAUUUGGAGAAGUCUCCGCCAACGGCUUCGAGGGUUAUGGAUUCAAAAGAAAAAGAUAAGUUGUCUGUACCUUCCACCUCGUCCGGGAAGCAGCCAGAGGAUCUGUCCUUAUCUAAGAAUAAGUGCUCAGAAGAGUAGUAAUUAGGAUGUGGAGGAAGGGCAGUUUAGUCAUUUGGGAGUUCCUUUUUAGAGUACUGUAGAUCACUAAGAAAAGGAGAGGGCUUGGUUCGUGGGGUAGCGGCAGCCGCCAGGGUGAUCUUGUGCUUCCUCCCAAGCUCCUCGUCAGCGCCGGCGCUGGCCACCGACCUCCACUUCUUCUCCUCUCCUUUCUUCUACGACCAGACUACAUCUCGAGCUUGAGAGGGGCCUGAUUUGGGGUGAGAGGCCGCCGCUACCAAGGAGGAAGAAGCCAAUUCAUCCAUCUCCGGCGCCGGGGCGCCGGUCACAUCCGACGCCGGCAGCUCUCUCUUUCUCUCCCACUCCAUCGUCUCUUCGCGAUCGCUGCUCAGCACACCGUCGCCGCCCAUCUCUCCUCUCAUGGGCAGACUUCUCCGGCCCUUUCGACGUGAACGCCGUCGAGCGGCACCAGAACCUCAGGCCAACCCCGCCGCCGGUGCAAACAAGGAAGAAAGCUUCUUCUUCGUCUCUUGCCGCCCCCUUCUUCCUUCUGCGGAUGGGUCUCUUCCGACAGGGCUUCUGAGCGCUUGUUCUUCCGCCGCCCUCCACAAAGGGAAGGACGUUGGAGUCGCUUCGCUGCCUCCCCUCUCACCGGCAGCACACAUGCUUGCUCCUCUCAUGCCGGCAACCCUCCGACGUUCUAUUCCUCCUCGUCGUUUGAAGAGACUGCUGCCAUUGCUAGCCCUUGCGACGUCGCCACCAGCAGUGGCAGCCGUCGGCCGGCCGCACAACCUCCCUCCGCAUGCUGGUAGCCCAAGCGCCGCCUCCAAGCUACCUACCUCUCUCUCGGUCUACGGUGGCCAAGCGCAACCUUCUUAAUACUGAUUCGGUGGGUCCCCUAACAUCGAGCUAGCCACUAUUAUUGCUAUCAUUGAUUUGAUUGUAUUCCGUUCUCGUUGUGGUCCGGCCUUCGUGUCGUUGCCUGGUUCUCGUUUUAUAUGUUGUUGUAUUUCAGCGCGCGGCCUAUUGUUAUCUCGGGCUUGCAUGCCGCUAGUAUUUCCCGGCCUACAUGCCGCUAGUAUUUCCCGGCCUACGUGCCGUUAGUA